rnacentral:lncRNA from 1 species
GAGCAAGCCACUGAGCUGUCCUGCCCCGCCUUAGACCCCCAUCUCAGCCUCCCAGAUGCUGAGGAUACAGGGUCUACAAGCUGUUGAGUUUGGCUUGGCUGCAGUUACCUCUGGGCCUCACUGAAGAAGGACAGGCUUCAAAGCUCACCUAGUUCUUGUCUGAUGGCUUCAAAUUUGAGAUCCUCCUGCUUCAACUUCUGAGAACUGGAAAUAUUUCAGAGUAUCAACAUGUCAGGCUAAAUUAAUCUUUUAACACUCAGUCACAAGCUCUCUGCUCUGCUAAACACAAAAUAUGACCUCUCAUUCCUGAAAGAAAUGGAAUUUGUUUUAUGAAAAUCAUUUGCUAAUGCUUAAAUCUAUCACAUCUUGGACAUUUCUAAAGCAAACUGAGGAAAAGGUCAGUGUGAAUCCUCUUACGAAUCAAAGUCCAAGAUGUUUACAUCCUACAAAGGCCAAUCUUUGGAUACACUGCUGAGGAGUUCCUGUCUGUUAGAACAGUGCUUUCUAGUUCUGCUAGAGACUCUCCUUGUCCUUUGGGAAGGGUGAAGCUUGGGACCAGAACUUGCUAUGUUGCCCAGAAUGGGCAAUCGUGACCCUCCUGCUUUAGCUUGCUGAGGGCUGGGAUUACAGACAAAUGGCUGCACACAUGGUAGGUGGGUGACAUUGAUCAUGUGUUUAUGGCUUACCCAAAUUUACAAAGCUAAUAAGGCUUUCACUUUUUUUUUAACCAGAU